UGAUCAUGGCUCAGAAUGAACGCUGGCGGCAUGGCUAAGACAUGCAAGUCGAACGAACUAUCCAUUUAUGAAUAGUUAGUGGCGAAAGGGUGAGGAAUAAAUAGGUAACGUACCCCGUGUUUCAGAAUAGCGUCUAGGUGCUUGCACCUUUCCGAAAGGGGCAGUAAUGCUGAAUAAUAUCACGGAUUUAAUGUCUAUGAUCAAAGAUUUAUCGACAUGGGAGCGGCCUAUUUCCUAUCAGCUAGUUGGUGAGGUAAUGGCUCACCAAGGCGACGACGGGUAGCGGGACUGAGAGGUUGGCCCGCCACAUCGGGACUGAGACACUGCCCGGACCUCCACGGAGGGCUGCAGUAACGAAUAUUGGGCAAUGGGCGAAAGCCUGACCCAGCAAUGCCGCGUGUAGGAUGAAGCCCCUCGGGGUGUAAACUAUUGUCAGGGACUAGAAAGCUACGGUUGAUCAGUCCCAAAGGAAGUCACGGCUAACUUCGUGCCAGCAGCCGCGGUAAUACGAAGGUGGCAAGCGUUAUUCGAAAUCACUGGGCUUAAAGGGCGCGUAGGCGGACAUACAAGUGUCUUGUGAAAUCCCCCGGCUUAACCGGGGAAUUGCU
rnacentral:rRNA from 1 species